rnacentral:rRNA from 1 species
AUUGAACGCUGGCGGCAGGCCUAACACAUGCAAGUCGAACGGUAACAGGAAGAAGCUUGCUUCUUUGCUGACGAGUGGCGGACGGGUGAGUAAUGUCUGGGAAACUGCCUGAUGGAGGGGGAUAACUACUGGAAACGGUAGCUAAUACCGCAUAACGUCGCAAGACCAAAGAGGGGGACCUUCGGGCCUCUUGCCAUCGGAUGUGCCCAGAUGGGAUUAGCUAGUAGGUGGGGUAACGGCUCACCUAGGCGACGAUCCCUAGCUGGUCUGAGAGGAUGACCAGCCACACUGGAACUGAGACACGGUCCAGACUCCUACGGGGGGCAGCAGUGGGGAAUAUUGCACAAUGGGCGCAAGCCUGAUGCAGCCAUGCCGCGUGUAUGAAGAAGGCCUUCGGGUUGUAAAGUACUUUCAGCGGGGAGGAAGGGAGUAAAGUUAAUACCUUUACUCAUUGACGUUACCCGCAGAAGAAGCACCGGCUAACUCCGUG